rnacentral:tRNA from 1 species
AUAAAUAUAGUUUAACUAAAACAUUAGAUUGUGAGUCUAACAACAGAAGAUUUAACCUUCUUAUUUACC